rnacentral:lncRNA from 10 species
ACUCGCGCUCUCCCGGGACUGGCUCCCCUCUCUGCAAGCCGGGACUUGCCGCCGGUGUCCCUGAGGGCUCGCAGCUGUAACUCGAACACGCUGGAACCGACUCCGGCGAGCCGGCUGCCUUCUCGAGACGUUCCUCCUUGCCCGGGCCGCCCGCGGGCCAGGUGAUCACCCCGAGUGUGGAGCAGGCCCGGGGGAGCUUGCGUAUGCCUUGAUCCAACCAGGUCACCCAGGGUUUUAUUUCAGGUCAUUUGGUCAUCCUCGGCCUCCAGGUAGGAUCAGGAAGCCACUCCUCACCUUUGCCCGGACCUCUUCUGUGUUCACGUAGAGUGGACUUUUAAAAGCCUGACCCAAGUGCCUCACGAUGCUUAGGGGGAAGCCGCUGGGGAGCAGGACUUUGCUUUGAGGGGAGGGAGUAGUCAAGGUAAAGGAACCUCUGCUCCGAGUGCCAAUAAAAUCCCCACAAGAUUAGCUGGGAGCAUAUUUAUUGCUCAUCUGAGCUAGAAUUACCUUGACUGACACCAAUUUCCUUAAUAACAAAAGCCUGUAAACAAAACGUCCUAUUCGUGCGCCCCUGUGCUGUGCAGCCAGCGUCUCCUGUCCUUGGGUCUCCCUGGACUGCCCUGGCGGGGCACCCACCUUCUAACCUCCUGCCCUUCCCGACCGGAAUGUCUCCCCUGCUGGAGGGUGGGACCGAGCUAUUUAGAGUUGUCUGUUGCAGGAAGUCUGGGAGGUGAGUCACUAAAAAGCAGCCCCAGUUCAAAGUGCUGAUGGGACUUGCCUCCCGCCCCCCUGCACGUUCCCGGGGCCGGAGGAGCGAGAGCGAAGCAGGGAGCUGCCCUGUAAUCUGGGGCAGCCGUUUCCAGCCCGCGACUUGUUCAGACGGCGAUUCCUGGGCCUCACCCCCAGAGAUUCUGAUUCAGCAGGGCUGGGUGCGCUGGGAUCGGUACUUUCAAUGCUCCGCCUGGUGAGAAAGUCACUUCGAAAAACGCUGAUCUGCGGGGAGGGGAGGCUGGGAUUACCUCGUCACCUGCAAAGACCUAGUUCUGGGGAGAGGUUCUGCAGGGGAGGAUCUUCCUUCUGGGUGAAAAGCCACUGGAAGAGCAAAAGGCAGGAGAGGCUUAGGAUGAGCAACUGUCCUGCACUGAGGGCCUAUAUUCUGACACAGUCCUUCCCCUGACCUUGCAAUCGGGGGACUGUUAUCCCAUCGUCCAGGUUACCCAGCCAGGAAGUGCAGGAGGGGGGAUCCCAAUCCAAACCUCUUCCCACUCUGACCAGACGGGAGGAGAGAAGUGGAGGAUGGGGUUCAGCUAAGGGUUGCAGAGCAGAGACCCCCCCACCCCCCUAACGCCCCCAAGAGUCUGACCGAAGGGCGGACCAAUGUCUCCAUCAGACCCCAGGGCCGGAAUCCAUUGUGGUGACGGCCUCCUCUCAUCUUCGAGGUCUGUAAAAAUGGGAAAGCGAUUCCAGCCUGGGAGUGACAGGCCUUUCCCACCCAGCAGCGGCUGGUGUCCGCCAGGCCUGCGAAGAAGCCUGGAAAGAUCUGAAGACAGAACCAGGCUGCAAAAGCGGGCUUUGCUCAUCUGUUGUCCUCGGAGCCGCCUGGUGGCCCAGAUAGGAUACUGCGCCUCCGAGCUGC